rnacentral:rRNA from 1 species
GAUGAACGCUGGCGGCGUGCUUAACACAUGCAAGUCGAGCGAAGCACUCUGUUUGAAUUUUUCGAAAGGAUGACAGUUUGACUGAGCGGCGGACGGGUGAGUAACGCGUGGGUAACCUGCCUCACACAGGGGGAUAACAGUUAGAAAUGACUGCUAAUACCGCAUAACCCGCUAGGGCCGCAUGGCCCGGACGGAAAAGAUUUAUCGGUGUGAGAUGGACCCGCGUCUGAUUAGCUAGUUGGUGAGGUAAGGGCUCACCAAGGCGACGAUCAGUAGCCGACCUGAGAGGGUGAUCGGCCACAUUGGGACUGAGACACGGCCCAA